rnacentral:rRNA from 1 species
GACGAACGCUGGCGGCGUGCCUAAUACAUGCAAGUCGAACGCUUCUUUCCUCCCGAGUGCUUGCACUCAAUUGGAAAGAGGAGUGGCGGACGGGUGAGUAACACGUGGGUAACCUACCCAUCAGAGGGGGAUAACACUUGGAAACAGGUGCUAAUACCGCAUAACAGUUUAUGCCGCAUGGCAUAAGAGUGAAAGGCGCUUUCGGGUGUCGCUGAUGGAUGGACCCGCGGUGCAUUAGCUAGUUGGUGAGGUAACGGCUCACCAAGGCCACGAUGCAUAGCCGACCUGAGAGGGUGAUCGGCCACACUGGGACUGAGACACGGCCCAGACUCCUACGGGAGGCAGCAGUAGGGAAUCUUCGGCAAUGGACGAAAGUCUGACCGAGCAACGCCGCGUGAGUGAAGAAGGUUUUCGGAUCGUAAAACUCUGUUGUUAGAGAAGAACAAGGACGUUAGUAACUGAACGCCCCUGACGGUAUCUAACCAGAAAGCCACGGCUAACUACGUG